GGGGUGUAGCUCAGUGGUAGAGUGCGUGGUUAACAUUCACAGGGUCCUGGGUUCAAUCCCAGGCAUCAAUCA
rnacentral:tRNA from 1 species